rnacentral:lncRNA from 1 species
GUAGAAAUCACUUUUUUCCACAAAAAAUAAAAAUAAAAAUUGUAGGACCAGGAUUUGAUUUAAAAUUUUCAAUAGUGGGAGGACUUGUUCCCACAAAAGUUUAUAAUUUUUCUGGACAAAAAAUUUGAUGGGAAACAUAUGUUUUUUGUUGACAAAAAUAUUAAACUUCUUCGUGGGCUAAUAAUUAGCUGGAAAAUUUUUCUUUUUUUCUUUCAUUUUCCUUUCCUUUUCUUUCUUUUUCUUUUUCUUUUUCAUUUUCAUCUAUUUUCCUUUUGUUUUAUUUUUUCUUGUCUUCCCCACAUUUUAUUUUCUUCCCCAAAUUUCCUUUCUUCUUCUACUCUGCUUUGUUCCACCACCAAAUUACCGUCCCGCUGCCUUCAAUGAGACAUCAGCCAUCGAGCCCACUAAUCUAACGAACCAAUUCAGAUCCAGAGAAAGUCCAGAGGUAUGGUUUAUUAAUUUUUAUUUGUUGGGUUAUUACUGAUUUGUAGGGGAAUAUUGUGAAAUGCUAAUUGGGUUAUGUGGUUGCUAUAAAUUCGUUUAUUGGUUACUAUCAGUUCAUUUAUUGUGUUGUACGGGUAGAUCUAUCGGAAUAUCAUAGAUCUACGGUAAGAUUAAGGUUUAGACAUCGAAGCACCGUGGUAGCAUCAAUGCUGAACACGGCCCUGGGUUGAUGAAAGCCGACAAAAUUUAUUAUAGAAGGUCUCUUGAAUCUGUAAGGCUAACCUCAUUGCCGGUUCGUUAUUAAUGAACAUCUCGUUUGCAGAUUUAUGCUUUUCUUGAAUUUCAAAACAUUAUGUUAAUAAUGAAGGUCUCAUCUCGCUUUGGAUCGAUGAAAGCUGAUAAUUUUUUUCUGCAAUUUAAUGUAAUACUAUUAGCCCUAGUUUCCACCCGAGUUCUAAUAAAAUGAAACUGAAGAGAAAUACCAACUUUCUAUAGUAUGUGAAUAUCUCUAACUAGGUAGAGAAAUGGAAAAAAUUACUUCGGCAAAUUGAAGAAACUAAGUCAGCGACGCUUCUCUCCCUAAAAAAACUUGUGAUGACAAAUUGACAAUUUGAUUGAAAAUAUUAUGGCUUUGUUCUUUGCAUCCCCUUUUGGUUCUAGUUUUCAUUGAGUGCUUAUUAACAUGUUCCUCAUUUUGAAUAUCCUAUUUUAAAAUUAAAUAUUAAAUUUUUAGUUAAAAUUUUUUUGUAACAUUUACCUUUAUAAUCUUCAGCAUUGAACUAAUAUUGAAAUUGCUUGGUAGGUGACGAGGAAUAGUCAGAACCAAAUUAAGGGAAGAAGGGGGUUAACUUCUUCUCUUCCUCUGGCUCACAAAAUGGAGAUUUAGUCAACCAUUGAAAUUAUUACCACUUGCUCUGCUCCACAAUUCUAAUCUUGCUUAUAGGGUGGUAAAACUUCACAAACUAUAUUUUACUCGAUUUGACUAAAAAACGUUGAAAAUCUGCUAGAUCACUAAAAGGGGCUUCUAACAUGCAUUCUAGCAAGAAUUUCACAAGAGACCUCCAUAGAAAUUAUGCGUUCUUCUAGUGUAAAAGAGACUUUAAAGAAGGACUUUAGUUGAAGAAGUACACCUCAAAUAGUAAGAGGGCCUCGGUCAAAGAUAAGAGUCACGUAUAGCCCUUGUUUGAGAUUCUUCUAAAAAUUCAUUUUUUUAAAACUCAUUUUCAACCACACAAUCUUUAAUAAAAUAAUAUUACAUGCAAACCCAAAAUAUUUUCUUAAUUUUUAACCACACAUUCUUCAUUAAUCUAAUAUUUAAAAUUCAUUCUUUUGCCCAAAAUGGGGUUCAAACAAGAGCAUACAUGAACUUUUUCUGGAUGCCAAUAGUAUAUGUUUGUUGAAUGCAUACAUGUAUCCAUGAUAUUUGUAGGUUGCAUUGAAGCUUCUCACCUAUAUAAGAGGUAAAACUAUCAAUCCAAGAAGAAUCUAAAAUAUCUAUAGAGACAAUGUGAAAUUAGGUACUAAUUGCAUUCCACUUCCUCAAUUAUUUCAAUUGUACUUACAAAAUUUGGCUAUAUUACAUAAUAUAUUUUAUGAAUUUCAGACCCUCUUUACAAAGGCUUUAUAAAUUUUCAAGAAGCAUUAGAUGCAGCAAGACAGCAUAUAGGAAUAAAUUUUUAUUUAUCUCCUUCUUUAAAAAAUUACUCUGAUCGUCCAUUAGAUUUCUCUCCAAGUAAAGAUCAGAAUAUUUUUUGCCAACACUGUGAGUGUAUGCAAAGAAAUUAUAAAGUUAUUAAUGAAGCCAACCUUUCAUUAGAAAGAGCCAAACUCCAAAAAAAAGUAGCCCAACUUGAAAAAGAGAUUUUGGAUUUAAAAGUCCAAUAUCCAACAAGUACUAUAGAGCCCAAUAAGUCCAUAGCUAGUCCAGCUCAAACGGUAACUGGUAGAGACUUAUCAAAUUCGUUGAAGGUUGUGAACUUACCAAAAGUCCAACAGACUCAGGGGAUUGUUGAUUCCUCUACUAAAAUAGAUGAUCAGACUUAGCAGACUGAUAAAUUUGCUACAGAAAAGGGUAAAGAAAUUUGGGAUCUUUUAGGACAGCCUAGUAGAAAAUUUGAUUACUUAGUUAAAUAUAGUCCACCAGAACAUUUUUCAUUAGAACAUUUUUCAAAUAAUCCAGAUCUUUUACAAGCCUAAGAAAUUUAUUCUAGUAAAGGAAAGGAAAAAAAUGGUUGCCCAAGAUAGUCAAGAUUGUUUAUUUUUUCAAGAAGCACAAGACCCCAAUCCAGGCACUGUUUCUUUAGAAAAGAUUUUUGAAAAAAUUGAAGAAUUUCAGAGACAAUCCAAAAGAGAAGAAGGAACUUCUUCAAAAAGGAAGAAAAAUAUUAAGAAGAAGAAAAAUGAAGAAAGAUUAAAAGAACAAAUUAAAGAAGCAGUAAAUCAAGCAUUUAAGAUAAUUUUAAAAAAGAAUUAUGAAGAAGAAAAAGAAAUUGCAGAAUGUCCAGAUCAAAAGGAAAAAGAUGAAACUAAUCAUUCAAGACUUUCAGAAGAAGAUGAAGAUCCACAGAACAAAUGAUACAAUAAUUCAGACAGUGGAAUAUCAUUUUCAUUAGUGGCACGCCAUAAUCUUGAUACAUGAUAAGAUUCUCAAUAAUACAGAACAAGACAAUUUUUGGUGGAAGAGAAGAAAAGGUUGAAGAAUUUUUUAUCACUAGAUUGUAGACUUUUUGACUAAAUUUCAUUAUUAUAAAAGAUGUCAGAACUUUUUGAAAAGAAAGAUUACCACUUAAAUUUUUAGACACAUGUUAUAUUUUUUAUUGGCCAGAAGCUUCUCGGUGAAGUGAGUGCCUUUUCCAUUAAGGAUAGUUUAGACUUUUUGCUCCCAAGAAUUUUUCUAUUUAAAGAGACAGUUUCAUUUGGUUUAGGCAGAAGUUUACAACCUAUGUACUCUCUGCUAUCUAAAAAACCUUUGAAACCUCUCCUCCAAAAAAAUUCUCAAUCCAAAAACUAUUGUAUAUCUGAAGUCCUUGUGAAUAUUUUAAGGUACUCUUGUUUUCUUUAGUUUAUUUUAGAACUUUAGGGACUUCUCGAAAGGGAAAUCCUUAGUUGUAAAUCUUUUAAAGAUGAAUUUAUAAAUCCCUGAUUGAUGUUUUACUUCUUAAUUUUUAUAUUCAUGUUUUUCUUGAAGUAAAUAUUUGUUAUAUUUCUCAUUUCAUCCUAUGCAUAUAAUAAAAGUAUAACUUGAUUUUUAGAAGCCAUACUGUUUUUAGGUUAAUUCUGAGUGACCCAGAUAAGUGAAAACUUUUGACCGGAGUAAGCCUCUUGAUGUUUUCUAGAGAUGUUGGGGAAAGGGAUAAAUUAAUCUAAGAAUUUUAUAAGGGGGUGUCACGGGUAACCUUAUAAAAAGAAAUCAGGUUCAAGUUUAUAUGUCAUAGGUGGUGAAAAAAAAAAGGAUUUGUAUAUGAUUCUAAGAAAAGAUUUAUAGAAAACUAAGGAGAGUACUGAGUAGGAUUAAAGUUGUUAAAAAGUAAAAAAGCAGCAAAUAAACAGUAGUAAAACUAAAACAGUAGUAAAUUAAAACAGUAGUAAAACUUAAACAGCCUACGCCCCCAUUUGGUAUCCCAACAAAAGUCUUGCAUUAUUUUCCUAUAAUAUCAAGACUUAAGAGGAUGUUUGGAAUAUAUGAGAUGUCAAUACAACUUAGAUGACACUCAAGUAAUAGUUCAGACGGUAAGAUUAGGCAUCCGAUUGAUUCAUUUAGUUGGGGAAUGAUUAACAACAGGUGGCCACAUUUUGCAUCCGAUGCUUGAAAUUUUAGAUUAGGUCUUGCUUACUUAUGGAUUUAAUCAUUUCAAAGCUCUUAGCUUUAAAUACAAUGUUGGCUAGUAAUCUUAACUAUAUAUAAGUUGCCUUCCUCAAUUUGUAUGUCAAAGGAAAGUUAGAUUUUGAGUUUAUUGAUCCCGUGAUCGAAACAACGAGGUACUGACAUAGAUGUUUAUUUGGCACCACUUGUAGACGACUUAAUGUUGUUAUGGAGUGAUGAGGUUGAUGUGUAUGGUGCAGCUACAAAGUCAACUUAAAAGAUAAUUUGAUGUGGACAAUAUAUGACUUUCUUGCAUAUGGAAAUAUAUCUGGGUGGCUCGUCAAAGGAAAAAUUGUAUGCCCUAUUUGUCGUGAAAAUAUAUGUUCACUAUGGUUGAAACAUGGUAGGAAGUUUGCUUACAUGGGACAUAAAAGAUUUCUCGCUUUUGAUCAUCCAUUUCGCAUGAAAAGGAGAUGGUUUAAUGGACGUGUUGAACAUGGUAUUAGGUCGAAGAUAAAAAAUGGUGAAGAGGAUUCUAUUGAUGUUGAUAAAAUUACAAAUGAUUGGGGAAAAUUGGUAAACAAAAAAAGGAAGAAGAAUACAACUCAAUCUAAUGUAACGUGGAAAAGAAUGUCAAUAUUUUUCGAUCUACCAUGUUGGAAGGUAAUUAUUGUAAUAUUUCCUUUAUUUUUAUUUAAAUACUUCUAAUUGUGUUUAGUUCUUCAUGACUUCAUUGAUGUUUGAUUUGCAGACUUUACUUGUACAUCAUAAUUUGAAUGUGAUGUAUGUGGAGAAGAAUAUUUGUAAUAGCAUCAUUAGUACGCUUCUGGGUGUCAAAGGAAAUCUAAAGAUGGUAUUAACUCUCGCAAGGAUGUGGAAAAAAUAAACAUUAGGCAUGAUUUACAUCUUUAGAGUAGAGGAAAUAAAUUCUAUCUGCCAGCUGCUCCUCACACCUUAUCAAAAGCAGAAAAACAAUUUUUUUGCGGAAGACUUGCUAACUUGAGAUUUCCCAGUGGUUAUGGAUCUAAUAUUGAAAAUUGCGUAUCAAUGGAAGAAUGUAAGAUAUUGGGCUAAAGUAUCAUGAUUGUCACAUUUUAAUGCAACAAUUAUUAUCAAUUGCGUUAAGAUGACUUCUACCUAAAGGACAAAGGAACUAUAUUUUUAAAUUGAUUUCAUUUUUCAAGGAAAUAUGUCAAGGAAUUAUAGAUAAAUAUAAGAUUGAACAAUUAGAGAUGGAUAUUUUCGAAACUUUAUGCAUGUUGGAAAGGUAUUUCCCGCCUUCCUUGUUUUGAUACAAUGGUUCAUUUGACAGUCCAUAUUAGGAGAGAAGUUCGUCUAUGUGGACCAGUACAAAGUAGUGGGAAAGUUAGAGAAAUUGAAAGCCAAUUACAAACUCAGGCACAAAGGGUGGGGGCACUAGAAGAAAAUAGUGGAAGCACCUCUCAAGUUAUCUCAGCAAAGGACAUUUUAUACAUACUAUAAUAAUAUAGCCUAAUAUAGCCAAUUACAUGUAGAAUAACUUUUGUAAUUUAUGUAACAUUUUACAGAAUGUAUAGGACAGGAAUUCAAUUGCUUUUCCUCCUUAGGUUUUUGUAUCCUACAUUAUUAAAUGUUUAUUCAAUAUAUAUUCAAUAUGUAGCAUUCUAGUUUUAAAAAGAAUAUUUUCUUUUUACUAUGAAUUUGUAGUCACACCAAGGAAGUGGUGUUCAAAGAAGUAUUGCACAUAUGACAAAUGUAAGAUGUUAACUAUUGCAUUGGUACAUGUUUGAGGAAUAAGAAGUCAUAACAGAAGGGAAAAUUGCAAUAACAGACCCAAGUGCAAAUGUACAUUACUUGCCACUUGGUCGAGACUGUUGGAAGGUUUGGGUUGAGGAAGUAAAUAUGGGUAAUUGGACCUUAUACAGACCUAUAGAUGGAUUUCGAACCCUCAGUGAAGCCAUGGGAAGUAUUGUUGCUUGGCCAAAGAGCAGUAUUAGACUUCUUUGAUUAUGGUAUGUUUUCUGGAUUUAUUACAUAUACGCGUGAAUCUGUUUCCAUUUUCAAGUCAUAGGGACUAGUUUUUUGACAGAUGUGUGAGAGAUGAAAAGUAUAAGCAUGUAAAAGGGAACUUUGUGUAUCCUUCUUAUUUAGGUUGUGGUGAAGAUGCCAAAAGUUGUUUGGAGACUGCAAGAAGUUUGUAAAAUUGGUGUGUUUGUAUCUAUGUGAAUACAGAUGUGAGAGUAGGACUUGAUAUACCACAUUUUCUGUGGAUUCUUUUCUGAUUUUGAAUGAGUGUCAAUGUUGCAUGGAACAAUCGUGACCAUGUUAAGCCACAGGUUGCUAGUGUGUAUGUGUGUGUAUUAAUAGGUUGAAAUUUUUCCAAAUGUAUUAACAGGUUGGCCCCUAUUUAUGUCCCAUUUCUACCCCUAUUUCACUACCUUUGUGCACAGCUUUUACUGGGUUUUGAGUACUCCUUUGUGGUCCAUUUGAGUGGUCAAUUUUUUUCAAAUUUGUAUGGUGUUGCUAUGUGAUUUUUAGCUCUUCACCUAAGCCUCGAUUAACUUUUGGGUGCCAAUUGUUUGGAGCUUUUGAUAGGAAAGUUGAUUUCCAAUUUAUUGUGAUUAUUUCCUUUAUAUGUAGUUAACUUAGUUUGUGUUUAUUAAAUGGUUGAUAGGCAUAUUUAUCACAACAAUUGGUAUCGGAGCCCCGUUUUAGGCUACUGUAGUGGCUAAUUUUUCUAUCUCUGAGCCGGAAUUAAUAUAUAGUAAAUUGAAUGUAUUUUCAUGGUGCAAUUGAAGCGUGUGUUUGCUGAUUUUGCAAUAAGGACUUGAAUCCUUAAUUAAUUUCGCAACUCUUGUAGCUACCGACCACCAACGGGUCCGCUUUGAUAAAUUGGCUAUGACUCUUUAAAUUUUUACAAUAGCAAGUCAUUGUGGGGAGGUCACUAAUAUAAUUUCAGCCAUGCUUGAUACUGGGUAUUAUAGGACUAUUUGCCUAAAUUGUGAUGUUAUCUUUUUUGUGGCUUUAUUGAUGGUUGAGUAAUUUCGUAUUGCCACUGAACCACUAAAAAUUGAUCUGCUUUUGCAUCUUUUUGGUUUUACUUUGUUUAUUAUUACUAGAGAACGGAAUAGUUAUGGCUUCGAAGGCACCAAGUUGGGUAGAUCAAUGGGGUGCAUGAGGAAUUGGUGCAAUGGAAAAUGAGAAUACUUUACAGCAACAGAGAAGUGGGCACAAUAGCCAUUUUAAUGUGUUGUUUAAUAUAGAAUAUACAAUGCUCACCUCCUUUUCCAAAUCUCUUUUUGGUGGUACAUGUUGUUUCAUAAUUAUAUUUUGGUGGUACAUGUUUUAAUUUUAUUUUGAAAAAUAGAAUGUGUUGAACAUUUUACAAGUUUUUUAUGGGAAUUAUUAGUUUAUUAUUCGAAUUGUUC